UUGGCGUGCGGCACCGCUGGUCACAAGAGUUGUUGCAGAACGGUUACAAACUAGUGCCCGCGUGCUUGGCUGCGGUGGAGUUUUGUGGAGUAGAGAUGCUCGUGUCAAAGCUUUCGAACGGUGGUUUGAGGAUGCUGUAAUUGCUCUUCCCUCAAACUGCCAAAAACUUAGCGGCCGUGCUGUAAGCAGAUCGGGCCAAUUCUGUAAGAAUGCAGGGGUGAUAAUGCUCACAACUCAUCAUAACUGGCUGCUCAUAGGAUGCGUUUACGUAACUUGAACUUCCUCAUCCUCCACGAAUUAGCCUGAUGUACCACAUGUCUUUGGAACGGUUACAGUGUCGAGAACGAAUCACCCGGAAUUUGCAAGAAUCUAAACACUCUCGUGCAAUACUCAUCUCACAUGUGUAGCAAUGUAACUUGGGUUCUAAUUACAUCGUAUUUUGUAUGAGCUCUUCCCAUCUCAAUUUUGCAAAUCACCUGCACAAUAUCACAUCACUUCUAUGAUAGAGUCAUGUUCUUGGACAAAAGCAGAAUUUCAAUAGUUUUAUUUAGCAACCGAUAUUAAUAGCAUGAAUGAUAUUGUUUACUGCCUCAUCGAGGUCAAUAUCCAUUUCAAGUCUCAACUAGCAACUUUUAACUUCGAGAACCAUGCAGUAGAUCAGUCGUAGGACAUGCGUCUCAUUUUUCCCAUUUCUUAUUCAUCAACCAAAAGUCCACUGAGGCGAAAGCAUCUAAUGGAUGCUACGUUAUUACAAUCACUUCUAUGAUAUGAUGUAAUGCUUGGUCCUCCGUAUGUGUUGACUGUGCAUGGUGAUGACAAUCGUGGUUUGCGAGUGGAACAGUGAUCGAAGAAGCCACCGGGGACUUUUAUCGGCACUUCAGGUCAAAGAUACAAAGAUAGCUACGCGAACAGAUGUGAGACGUGGCAAAACAUCGCAACGAGAUGCUCGAAUAUUAAGUCGAGAAAUCGUAUGUUCUCUAAAAAGAAUUGGCUGACAAGACAAUGAACUGUGCCUUAUGUUUUUCGGUACCUCUGAAGCAAGGAAAUAAUUCUGGUGAGCAGCCAUUUAAAGAAUAUCUUCAGAUGGAUGUUCCGCAGCAAAGACUGAUCUUCUCAAUACUUCAAGGCCGGACUAGGCAGUACCACUCAUGACUUGCCUUGGGUGUCGGCAACUAUUUACUCAGUUUUGUUAGGAGUUUUGGGUACCCGGUUUCCUGUAAGGAGGUAUUCUUGUUAAUUUGACCUAGUUCCUCUUCUGGUGCAAGGGACAACUUUGACAAACACAACUGAGGUCCCACUAUGAUAUGAUGGUGUACUGAAACCGCCACAACUGUGUACUUUUUCAACUGUAUAAAUGUCUGUGUCCAGCGACUAGAGUUUUAAAGCAGAAUUUCUCACAGCAGCAUUGUAGCAAUUAACCCAUAGUUAGCUACAGAGCCUACUCUUCAC